CGGGCUGGGCAGGGUGCCGGGUGGCUCCCAGCCAGUCUCCGUGCUCCCUCUCUGGAAUUCUCCUUGAGCUGGCAGGGGAGACAGUGGCAAGCAUGAGCCCGGAUGGACCUACGUUCUGGACUCCAGGCAUGCAGCCUGCUCAACCAGGUCUUGAUGUGAGGUCCUGUCCAGGCAUGGCUUCGGCCCGAUCACCACCGACAUCCGGGAGGGACAGACUUUCUACUAUGCGGAAGACUACCACCAGCAGUACCUGAGCAAGAACCCCGAUGGCUACUGCGGCCUCGGGGGCACUGGAGUGUCCUGUCCCAUGGGUAUUAAAAAAUAGUUUCCCCCCACAUGGUAGGCCUUUGAGGUUCCUGCAAAAACGCUUUCAGCAAAUAGGGCAGUCCUUUUGUGAUUCUCAACCCGUGGCUUUCUGAAAUGCACAAGGUGCGAGGGUGUUUAUAAAAACCUGGUUUAUGGAAGUGUCAUUUACAGGAGGUGCAGUGGCCAGUUGACAAGGUGUCAUUUGCCUUCUCACCAAUUACGGUGGGAGUAGAGCAGAGAGCAGUGGGGUCCUCUGGAUCACAUGGGGCUGGGUGAAGAUAACGAAUGGGCCCUGCCCCCCUUCUUGGUCGGGCACCUCUCCUAGAAGUUGCAGAAUGAGCUGGGAGGUUGUCGGACAGGACAGGGGGAGUUUGGAAAUCCCUGGUCUGUACCUCCUGCCUGCUAGUGCCUUAGAACUUGCAAACAAUCAUAGCCUCAACGAAUCAUUCACCGAAAUGCUUUGCUGCACGGAACCAAGACAUGUGCAAGGGGCUUUCUUUCCCUUUUUGGCCCUCUUGGUCCAGAGAAAAGAUGUGAGUCAGCUUGGUGAAUCCUAACGCUUUGCUUACAGCUAUGAGAAAUGUAUGUUCCAAUAAAAACCUGCAGUUCAAUAAUA